AUACAUGAUGAACAAAAUUCACUGCGUUCUUACUGUAAUCGAGCCCUCUGGGCUUAUUGAAGAGAACAUUCAUAUAUCAACAAUUCACCUUGGAGAACUGAUGU
rnacentral:snoRNA from 1 species